AAAGGUCGGGAGCGGGGCCUUAACCCUAGAAUCGGAUCGGGCGACGAGAAGGGAGGCGAAGGAGGCAGCCAUCGGCUGCGGAUUCGCGAGUUCCUCCUCUUCCAUCUUCUAUUUGGUUUCCUUUUCCCUUUCUCAUGUGCGAAUAUUUGUGGUUUGUUUUUGUGUAUAUGUUGGAUGAUUUGGUGGCCGGGGUCAUUUGGGUUGACAGAAGAGAGUGAGCACACAGCGGGCGGUGGCAUCGAUCCGCGGGAUGCCGUCGCUGUUGCGUGCUCACUCCUCUCUCUGUCAUCCCUGUCUCCCUGGCGUUGCCUGCAGAGAGAGAUGCGCUACCUUAUGUUGGUCAUUACGCUGACGCUGUUUGGUGUGGAAGUGGUAAUAGGAAAGCGAGGCUGUGUGAGUUCAUGGCGGACACGCGUGCAAGAGAAGGCUUCUUCUUUUCCUCCGCCUCCCUCGCCUCGAAUCCCGAUCCUCUCUUAAGUUAUGCCGUUCUUUAGAUCCACUUGUCGCCGAUCUGUCUCUUCUCAUUCGGUUUCCGUUUUGGAGGGUGGGUUAAAGUUGGGCCUUUGGAAUGCGAGUGGCGGAAGAGAUCAAGAAAGGAUUAUAAAAACCCGACCUUGAUGGUGCGUGGAAGCGUGGCUUUUGAGAUGGUGAUUGUUUCAGCUGGGCGGCGAAGUACACAAUGCCAUCCCCAUCUGUAUCGUCUGCCUAUUGUGUGGAUGUAACUUUAGUCACUGUGGUCUUCUUCUCCCUCCCUUCCCCCUCCUCUCCUCCUCCACUCAUUUUCCUUCUUUCUCUUCCUUUCCCUUCUAUUCCUUAUCGCUGAGACGUUGAUGUUGGGCGGUGACCACAGUCUCCGACGAAGCAUGGGUAGUUUCUUCCCAAUAUCCUUGUUGACCCUUCUCUUACCUAGUUCCUAUCUCCUCUCUCUUUUUGUUUGCUUUUCGUUUCCUCCUCCUCCAUCUUUGGGGCUCUCAAGUCGGUCACAUUUAUUGGACUUAUCUCACUUUCCCAUAGAUACCUUUCUUGUUCAUCUGAUUUGCAUUGGAUUUUCGACAUUGUUAAUCCCUCCUUAUCUGAUCGUGAUCCUCAUCAGCUUUUGUUCUCGAGUUAUAUCGUGCAGUUAAAAUUUUGCUUCCCGCAUGCAUUAAAACCACCGUUGACUUGUGCUCCAGUCUCUUGAUGGAGCUCGGAUGUAUUGCGGAUGCUACACAAAGACCUCGGUAAGUCAGAUUUCGUCGUGUUCGACGUUCUACAUCAUUUCUUAGUGGAAAAGCAACUCGAGGAAAGAGUUGUCUGCUUUUAUGUUCAUGCGAUGGAGAGAAACUGAAUUAGAUCGAGAGUGGCCGGACAGACCACUGCCGCAGACUCUUUCUUUCAGUGUUCCACAAAGAAUCUUGCUUUCCUGCAUGAUCCCAUUCAUUUUGUCCAGAAAACCUGUGACUUAUUUGUGUACAGAUGAUAUUAAGCUCUCUUUCCUUUUCAGUAUGGCUGAUCAAAAAUUAUUUUUUUACCGCUUUUGGGGUAUUUGACUAAUUCAUUUGUAGUAAUUGUGUAUAAGGGACAUGGAAAAACUUUGGGGUGAGAAAUUGACAUCUAACAUGUGAGGAUCUUAAUGUUUGAUCUUUUUCGCUAUCUGAAAAA